rnacentral:lncRNA from 1 species
GGAAAGAUGGAGAGUAUGGGGGCUGCUGGUUUGCUGCCCCACCAACGGUGAUGGAGUAACAUUUGGUUGGUUGGCUGGAGAAGCUGAGACAGUAAAGAAAGGUUAGUGGUGGCUGAAUCACUGGCUAGUGGGUGUGAGAGAGAAGAGGGAGUUGGCAGAGAGAGAGGGUAGAAAGAAAAAAUGGUGAGGUGGCUGGUGAGGGAGAGAGAGAGUGGUAUGGAGGUUGUCAGUGGUGGUGGCGCCUGGAGCGACAGUCUUGCCGGCAACAGUUCUGGCAGAGACAGGGGAAGGGGGCGGACAGUUGGUGAGUG